GACGAACGCUGGCGGCGUGCUUAACACAUGCAAGUCAAGGGGAAAGGAUGCUUCGGUGUCUGAGUAUACUGGCGAACGGGUGAGUAACGCGUAGGUAACCUGCCUAUGAGAUUGGGAUAACACUGCUAACGCGGUGCUAAUACCGGAUGAUGCAAUGAAUCUGCAUGGAUUUAUUGUUAAAGCGGGCCUAUGGCUCGUGCUUAUAGAUGGACCUGCGUCCCAUUAGUUAGUUGGCGGGGUGACGGCCCACCAAGGCGACGAUGGGUAGCCGACCUGAGAGGGUGAUCGGCCACACUGGGACUGAGAUACGGCCCAGACUCCUACGGGAGGCUG
rnacentral:rRNA from 1 species